rnacentral:rRNA from 1 species
AUUGAACGCUGGCGGCAGGCUUAACACAUGCAAGUCGAGGGGCAGCAUGAAUGUAGCAAUACAUUUGAUGGCGACCGGCAAACGGGUGCGGAACACGUACACAACCUUCCUAUAAGUGGGGAAUAGCCCAGAGAAAUUUGGAUUAAUACCCCGUAACAUAAUGAUGUGGCAUCACAUUAUUAUUAUAGCUACGGCGCUUAUUGAUGGGUGUGCGGCUGAUUAGAUAGUUGGCGGGGUAACGGCCCACCAAGUCUACGAUCAGUAGCUGAUGUGAGAGCAGGAUCAGCCACACUGGCACUGAGACACGGGCCCGACUCCUACGGGAGGCAGCAGUAAGGAAUAUUGGUCAAUGGACGCAAGUCUGAACCAGCCAUGCCGCGUGAAGGAUUAAGGUCCUCUGGAUUGUAAACUUCUUUUAUCUGGGACGAAAAAAGGCGAUUCUUCGUCACUUGACGGUACCAGAUGAAUAAGCACCGGCUAACUCCGUGCCAGCCGCCGCCGUAACAC